rnacentral:rRNA from 1 species
AUGGCGUCGUCCCCCGCGCGCCCCGCCGCCGCGUCCGUCUCCGGCGCCUUCGGCCUCCCGCCCGACGCCCGCUGCUCCUUCGACCAGACGCGCCGCCGCGCCGAGGAUUCGCAGGACAAGAGGCAGCUGGUGCGGACGUUCGUCAACGUGUACGGCCAGGAGGGCUACCCCAAGGAGGCCGUCAUGGCGGCCGUCGAGGAGUGCAUGAGGAAGCAGGCCGAGGGACUGCUGCAUUCGCUCGAGGGCAUCGGGGGGAGGCUCUCGCAGCUCGAGCUCUACUGCUACAAGCUCGAGCGCUCCAUCGGGGAGCUGCGCAGCGACGUCAUGGACUACCACAGCGAGGGCACCGUCAACUUCCGCUGCCUCGACAAGAAUCUCAGACAGGUUCAGAAAGCUGUGCAGAUGCUUCAGGAUAAGCAUGAGCCUGCUGACACGGCGCAGCAACUGGCCAAACUUCAAAUAGCGCAUGAAUUCCCUGCUAGAACAAAUGAAGCCACUGCCUUGUCGAUGCUUGCUUCAAGGGAAAAUGUCAACGAUCAGAGCACACAAUUCGCCAACCCUGAGGUUUCUUUUGUGCCAAUUCACCAAGUUAAUACCAUGCAGUCUCCUGCUAUGCCGAACCAAAGUAGCGGCGGUUAUAUUCUGCAGCAACUAGUGCCCGUCUCUUUGAGCACGCAACAUGAUCAGCAACAUCCGAGCCAAGCUGCGGUGUACUAUAUGCAAAGCCAAAGUCAAGUGAACUGCACAGAGAACAAACCGUCCGAGUCUUUUGUUCAGGUUAUGCAGCCGCAUGUCCAGAACCCUGAAGCCAGGGUUGCAGUUGAGCUACCUCAGAAAUCUAGUCAGCCAACGGAAAUGUACCCUCCACUGCAGCAUCAUAUGCUACAAAUGCCUGCUCAGCAUCACGAGUCACAGGCAUGGCGAUCACAGCCACCUGUCGCGCAACAGCAGCACUACAGUGUUCAGCAAGUCCCACCACAGAUGGUUCAACAGAAAACAUCUUCUCCUCAUGCUCAAAGUACUCCUCAAGUCACGCUCAUGUAUCCUCAAUACUCUUCUCAGAAGCCUGCCAAUGCUACCACUGAGCCACUUCCGAGAAGUUUGGUUGGGCAGUCUCCAUACUCUUCACCCCAGCAGAAGCAUCAUGAAGUCAUGCCUUCGUUUUAUGGCCAAGGCAACACAAUUUUGCUUCCCACGGCAGAGCAUAAUAUCCAGCAUCAACAGCCACAGCAACUGCAAACGCAGAGCCAGGCCUCAUGCCCACCUCAACCAAACAAGCCCAGCCACUGCAGUGUUGCAUCAUAUGCUGUUCAGGGUAGUGGCCGAGCCCACACUGCCACAUAUAAGAAUCCUGCUGAGAGCCCUGCAACUGUUGUUGCUGUUCUGCCUCAGCAUUCGGCAACAGCUCCUAUGGCGUUUCAUCAUUUGGGGCAACAAAUCUUGCAUAAGAAUCCAUAUGGAAGUAUGUUUGAAACGACCAGUGUAGUAGGGUAUCCACAUGAUCUGGUUGGGAGUAUGACGCUUCCAGUGGUGACUGCGGACUCCAGUAACAUGGUUGAUAAGCUCAAUGCUGGUAGCAAUGUUACAUCCCCGCGAGACUGGCCUGCAUAG